rnacentral:SRP_RNA from 1 species
GCCGGGCGCCGUGGCUCGCGCCUGUAGUCCCAGCUACUCGUGAGGCUGAGGCAGGAGGAUCGCUUGAGCCCGGGAGUUCUGGGCUGUAGUGCGCUAUGCUGAUCGGGUGUCCACACUUAAGUUCGGCAUCAAUGUGGUAACCUCCGGGGAGCGGGGGACCACCAGGCUGCCUAAGGAGGGGUGAACCGGCCCAGGUCGGAAACGGAGCAGGACAAACCAAUCAUUGGACAAAGCUUGGGCAAGGGUUGGUGCUAAAUAGGAAAGGGAACAAAGGUCAU